UGCCAGCAGCCGCGGUAAUACGAAGGGGGCUAGCGUUGUUCGGAAUUACUGGGCGUAAAGCGUACGUAGGCGGAUUAAUAAGUUAGAGGUGAAAUCCCAGGGCUCAACCCUGGAACUGCCUUUAAAACUGUUAGUCUUGAGAUCGAGAGAGGUGAGUGGAAUUCCAAGUGUAGAGGUGAAAUUCGUAGAUAUUUGGAGGAACACCAGUGGCGAAGGCGACUUCCUGGCCCAAAACUGACGCUGAGGUGCGAAAGCGUGGGUAGCGAACAGGAUUAGAUA
rnacentral:rRNA from 1 species